UACGUAGGGGGCGAGCGUUGUUCGGAUUUAUUGGGCGUAAAGAGCUCGUAGGCGGUUCGGUAAGUCGAAUGUGAAAUCUCCACGCUCAACGUGGAGGGGUCAUUCGAAACUGCCGUGACUUGAGUACGGUAGGGGAGUGUGGAAUUCCCGGUGUAGCGGUGAAAUGCGCAGAGAUCGGGAGGAACACCCGUAGCGAAGGCGGCACUCUGGGCCGAUACUGACGCUGAGGAGCAAAAGCGUGGGGAGCAAACAGG
rnacentral:rRNA from 1 species